UACAGAGACUGCAAGCGUUAUUCGGAUUCACUGGGCGUAAAGGGUGCGUAGGUGGUUGGGUAAGUUUGAUGUGAAAGCUCAGGGCUUAACCCUGAAAUGGCAUUGAAUACUACUCAACUGGAGGUUUGGAGGGGGGACUGGAAUUCUUGGUGUAGCAGUGAAAUGCGUAGAUAUCAAGAGGAACACCAGUGGCGAAGGCGAGUCCCUGGACAACACCUGACACUGAGGCACGAAAGCUAGGGGAGCAAACAGG
rnacentral:rRNA from 1 species